UACGUAGGGUGCGAGCGUUGUCCGGAAUUAUUGGGCGUAAAGAGCUCGUAGGUGGUUUGUCGCGUUGUUCGUGAAAACCGGGGGCUUAACCCUCGGCGUGCGGGCGAUACGGGCAGACUUGAGUACUGCAGGGGAGACUGGAAUUCCUGGUGUAGCGGUGGAAUGCGCAGAUAUCGGGAGGAACACCAGUGGCGAAGGCGACUACCUGGCCUGUUCUUGACGCUGAGGCGCGAAAGCUAGGGGAGCAAACGGG
rnacentral:rRNA from 1 species